AAAAUGGCUGUGAAGAGAAGAGUAAGCUUUCGCAUGAGCCUUACCAGAGAGCCCGGCAGGUGGAAAAGGGCAGGAAACAGGGAGCCGAAAAUGGUCUCGGAGCUGCGCGGACGAAGAGCAAGAGCACUAGUCCGCGACGGGUGCGCCCGUUAAAGCGUCCGGCUGUAAGCAGAAAAAAUUCUGCCGCAGUUUUGAGGCAGUGUCCGCGAGGAUGCUGUGAACCAAGGUGGUACCACGGAAGUUUCAAAGCCUCCGUCCUUGUG
rnacentral:ncRNA from 1 species